GCGGCGGUGGUGAAACUGGUAGACACGCUAGCUUGAGGGGCUAGUGGGGUAAAACCCGUGGAGGUUCAAGUCCUCUCCGCCGCA
rnacentral:tRNA from 1 species